rfam:Mosquito flavivirus gene for polyprotein, complete cds, strain: YDFV/Oct/2013
CGCAAGGAGGAACGUGUCACUGGCAUGUUCCUGGGAGUUAACGGCUCUCCGGCCCCAGUUCCUAGAUCUAGGAAAGAUCCCGUGGCGUUGUGAGGACGCUAA